UACGAAGGGGGCUAGCGUUGCUCGGAAUCACUGGGCGUAAAGGGUGCGUAGGCGGGUCUUUUAAGUCAGGGGUGAAAUCCUGGAGCUCAACUCCAGAACUGCCUUUGAUACUGAGGAUCUUGAGUUCGGGAGAGGUGAGUGGAACUGCGAGUGUAGAGGUGAAAUUCGUAGAUAUUCGCAAGAACACCAGUGGCGAAGGCGGCUCACUGGCCCGAUACUGACGCUGAGGCACGAAAGCGUGGGGAGCAAACAGG
rnacentral:rRNA from 1 species